CCAAUAGCGUAUAUUAAAGUUGUUGCAGUUAAAAAGCUCGUAGUUGAAUUUCGGGAUUGGCGCAUCGGUCGUGCCUCACGGGGUAUGAACUGGUGCAGUCAAUUUCUCACCUUCUGGAGAACCGCGAUGUCCUUAAUUGGGUGCCGCGGGGAACCAGGACCUUUACUUUGAAAAAAUUAGAGUGUUUAAAGCAGGCAUUUUUGCUUGAAUACAUUAGCAUGGAAUAAUAAAAUAGGACGGCAUGGUUCUAUUUUGUUGGUUUCUAGGACCACCGUAAUGAUUAAUAGGGAUAGUUGGGGGCAUUAGUAUUCAAUUGUCAGAGGUGAAAUUCUUGGAUUUAUUGAAGACUAACUACUGCGAAAGCAUUUGCCAAGGAUGUUUUCAUUAAUCAAGAACGAAAGUUAGGAGAUCGAAGACGAUCAGAUACCGUCGUAGUCUUAACCAUAAACUAUGCCGACUAGGAAUCAGACGAUGUUAAUUUUUUAAUGACUCGUUUGGCACCUUACG
rnacentral:misc_RNA from 1 species